GAUGAACGCUGGCGGCGUGCCUAAUACAUGCAAGUCGAGCGAACGGACGAGAAGCUUGCUUCUCUGAUGUUAGCGGCGGACGGGUGAGUAACACGUGGAUAACCUACCUAUAAGACUGGGAUAACUUCGGGAAACCGGAGCUAAUACCGGAUAAUAUUUUGAACCGCAUGGUUCAAAAGUGAAAGACGGUCUUGCUGUCACUUAUAGAUGGAUCCGCGCUGCAUUAGCUAGUUGGUAAGGUAACGGCUUACCAAGGCAACGAUGCAUAGCCGACCUGAGAGGGUGAUCGGCCACACUGGAACUGAGGCACGGUCCAGACUCCUACGGGAGGCAGCAGUAGGGAAUCUUCCGCAAUGGGCGAAAGCCUGACGGAGCAACGCCGCGUGAGUGAUGAAGGUCUUCGGAUCGUAAAACUCUGUUAUUAGGGAAGAACAUAUGUGUAAGUAACUGUGCACAUCUUGACGGGACCUAAUCAGAAAGCCACGGCUAACUACGU
rnacentral:rRNA from 1 species